CAGCGUCCCAAGUGGCGAUCCUUUUUAUUUGGCCUAAAGCGUCCGUAGCUGGUUUAGUAAAUCUUUUGUGAAAUCGUUAGGCCUAACUUAACGACGUGCAGGAGACACUUUAUGACUAGGGACCAGGAGGGGUUAGAAGUAUUCUUAGGGGAGCGGUAAAAUGCUAUAAUCCUAAGAAGACUACCUGUGGCGAAGGCGUCUAACCAGAAUGGAUCCGACAGUGAGGGACGAAAGCGAGGGGAGCAAACCGGAUUAGAGACCCGAGUAGUCC
rnacentral:rRNA from 1 species